CUACCCUCGUACCUUUUGCAUCAUGGUCUAGCCAGUCUAAUCAAGCAAAACGCGCUUUAAGUUUGACCCCCCGAAACCAGGCGAGCUACUUCUAAACAGCCACAAGCCAACCCUUCUCCGUCGCAAAGGAGUGGGAAGAUUUAAAAGUAGAGGCGACACACCUACCGAGCCUGGAGAUAGCUGGUUAUUUAGGAAAAGGAUUUAAGUCCACCUCUAAGUUUUUUUAGCAUACUCAGACAAAAAUAAACUUACAAGUCAUUCAAAUAAGGUACAGCCUACUUGAAUAAGGAAACAGCCUACAACACAGGGUAAUGUUCACCCCCGUGACUAGGUGGGCCUAAAAGCAGCCAACCCUCAAAAAGCGUCCAAGCUUCAUCACUACAACAAUUAAUCCCAUCAUUAACCCACAACCCCCAACCACUACUAAAUAACCCCAUACACAUAUGGGAGAUAUUAUGCUAGAACUAGUAACAAGAAGAAGCACUUCUCCUAGAUAAAAGCUUAAGCCACAGUGAACCGUUCGCCGGCAAUUACCGCCACUAACCCACGGUAGCAACACUACAAGAAAACCCUACCACACUAAGCGUUAACCUAACACCAGAUUAUCGCAGGAAAGAUUAAAAAGGGGGGAAGGAACUCGGCAAAUAUCAGCUCCGCCUG
rnacentral:rRNA from 1 species